GAUGAACGCUGGCGGCGUGCCUAAUACAUGCAAGUCGAGCGAACGGACGAGAAGCUUGCUUCUCUGAUGUUAGCGGCGGACGGGUGAGUAACACGUGGAUAACCUACCUAUAAGACUGGGAUAACUUCGGGAAACCGGAGCUAAUACCGGAUGAUAUUUUGAACCGCAUGGUUCAAAAGUGAAAGACGGUCUUGCUGUCACUUAUAGAUGGAUCCGCGCUGCAUUAGCUAGUUGGUAAGGUAACGGCUUACCAAGGCAACGAUGCAUAGCCGACCUGAGAGGGUGAUAGGCCACACUGGAACUGAGACACGGUCCAGACUCCUACGGGAGGCAGCAGUAGGGAAUCGUCCGCAAUGGGCGAAAGCCUGACGGAGCAACGCCGCGUGAGUGAUGAAGGUCUUCGGAUCGUAAAACUCUGUUAUUAGGGAAGAACAUAUGUGUAAGUAACUGUGCACAUCUUGACGGUACCUAAUCAGAAAGCCACGGCUAACUACGUG
rnacentral:rRNA from 1 species